rnacentral:rRNA from 1 species
AGUGAACGCUGGCGGUAGGCCUAACACAUGCAAGUCGAACGGCAGCACAGUAAGAGCUUGCUCUUACGGGUGGCGAGUGGCGGACGGGUGAGGAAUACAUCGGAAUCUACUUUUUCGUGGGGGAUAACGUAGGGAAACUUACGCUAAUACCGCAUACGACCUACGGGUGAAAGCAGGGGAACUUCGGACCUUGCGCGAUUGAAUGAGCCGAUGUCGGAUUAGCUAGUUGGCGGGGUAAAGGCCCACCAAGGCGACGAUCCGUAGCUGGUCUGAGAGGAUGAUCAGCCACACUGGAACUGAGACACGGUCCAGACUCCUACGGGAGGCAGCAGUGGGGAAUAUUGGACAAUGGGCGCAAGCCUGAUCCAGCCAUACCGCGUGGGUGAAGAAGGCCUUCGGGUUGUAAAGCCCCUUUGUUGGGAAAGAAAAGCAGCAGGUUAAUACCCCGCUGUUCUGACGGUACCCAAAGAAUAAGCACCGGCUAACUUCGUG